rnacentral:rRNA from 1 species
AUACGGAGGGUCCGAGCGUUAUCCGGAAUCAUUGGGUUUAAAGGGUCCGUAGGCGGGAAUCUAAGUCAAUGGUGAAAUCUUGCAGCUCAACUGUAAAAUUGCCAUUGAUACUGGAUUUCUUGAAUUAGUGUGAAGUGGUUAGAAUGUGUAGUGUAGCGGUGAAAUGCAUAGAUAUUACACAGAAUACCAAUUGCGAAGGCAGAUCACUAACACUAUAUUGACGCUAAGGGACGAAAGCGUGGGGAGCGAACAGGAUUAGAAACCCGAGUAGUCC